CACCGCGCGCGGCGUAGCGCCUUCUCGUGGCGACAAUCGACGCGCGAACACGUAUCAUCAUUUGUUUUUUUUCUAAACAUAUGCUAAGGCCCUACGCUAAUAAGAACUAUCUAUGAGAAAAGUCAACAUGUUUUCAUUUGACCGCAGUGCGAGAAGAUUAUUAACGAUGGAUUUUAAUAUCAGUAACGUGAUAAAAAUUUUCAAAUAAAAAUAUUUUUACAAAUCGAAAUUACAAAUUUUGAGAACCUGUGAAGUCGCGACUUAGUGACGGCCAGUGAACUAGUGCGGAGUUUUGGGAAGCAAGAAAAUGUUUUCAGCGAAAUCUGAUUUAUCUGAAAGAAUGAUAAUUUAGAAAAUCGAGGAAAAUUCUUCAUCAAUACUUACGGUGGAAAUAAACGCAAAUAACGAGGAAUUAUAAGGACUUUCAACUUGCGGAUCGAAAGUGAAUAGGCGAUGUAUUGGUGUGUUUUUAAACUGUAUUAAAUAUAAAGUUAAUUUUUCCAAACUUGAAAGUCAAGAAGAAUAUUGAAGUAUGUAUCCAGUUAGCCGAAGAACAGAAGACAGAAGAUUUGCAGAAGAGAGAAAAACCUGGU